rnacentral:rRNA from 1 species
GACAGAGGUGCCGAGCGUUAGGCGGAAUCACUGGGCUUAAAGCGUGUGUAGGCGGGUCGUUAAGUGCCUUGUGAAAUCCCACAGCUCACCUGUGGAACUGCUUGGCAUACUGGCGAUCUUGAGCCACUUAGGGGCAACCGGAACAAACGGUGGAGCGGUGAAAUGCGUAGAUAUCGGGAGGAACACCGGUGGCGAAGGCGGGUCUCUGGGCAUUUCCUGACGCUGAGGCGCGAAAGCGUGGGGAGCAAACGGG